UACGGGGGGGGCAAGCGUUGUUCGGAAUUACUGGGCGUAAAGGGUUUGUAGGUGGCCCGCUAAGUCACACGUGAAAUCCCUCAGCUUAACUGGGGAACUGCGUGUGAGACUGGCAGGCUCGAGGGCAGGAGAGGAACGCGGAAUUCCAGGUGUAGCGGUGAAAUGCGCAGAUAUCAGGAGGAACACCGGUGGCGAAGGCGGGUCUCUGGGCAUUAACUGACGCUGAGGAGCGAAAGCAUGGGGAGCGAACAGG
rnacentral:rRNA from 1 species